rnacentral:ncRNA from 1 species
GUGGACCGGUCCCCGGUGCAGAUCUUGGUGGUAGUAGCAAAUAUUCAAAUGAGAACUUUGAAGACUGAAGUGGGGAAAGGUUCCAUGUGAACAACACUUGGACAUGGGGUAGUCGAUCCUAAGAGAUGGGGAAGCCCUGUAUCAAGGGUGCACUAUGCACGAGCAUCGAAAGGGAAUCGGGUUAAUAUUCCCGAACCGGGACAUGGCGGCGGACGACAACAUUAGGAAAUCAGGAGACGUCGUCCAGGGCCCCAGGAAGAGUUAUCUUUUCUUUUUAACAGCUUGCCCACCCUGAAAUCGGCUCAACCAGAGAUAGGGUCUAGCAGCUGGAAGAGCAUCGCACGUCUUGCGGUGUCCGGUGCGCCCUCGACGGCCCUUGAAAAUCUAGAGGACCGAGUACCGUCCAUGCCCGGUCAUACUCAUAACC